ensembl:snoRNA Snord110 small nucleolar RNA SNORD110
UUGCACUGAUGACUUGAAAAAUCUGUCAAUCCACUGAGUGUGAUCACUGAUGUCUCCAUGUUUCUGAGCAA